GGGGAGGGGAGCCGAACGCGCGACCUGGCCUAGGCGGAGCGGCUCGGCGCUGCGCGAUCGCUCUCCUGAGGGUCCGCGUGUCGCUUUUUGUGUUGUGCGGGGCGCUGGGUCUGUGUUCCCCCGCGCAGUCGCGUGCGGCAGAGAGACACCAACUCUACCAGCAGCUCUGUGAACACGCGGUAGCGAGAUCCCACUUUUCCUCGUGGGUCUUCCACGGUGCGAGGUUGUUGACAGGUCCGGAACCUUUCCCCAGCCCCGAACUACAAGCCCCCCGCGCCGCGUUUCCACAUUCUCCUUGCCCGCCGCCCCCCCACGGCUUCCCGGACUCUGCGCUUGGCUGCCCUCCCCACACACGCGGCUGUUUGUUUUUGUUGGGUUUGUCAAUGUUGUCUUUGUUUGGGAGACUGUGUCAUCGCCUGGAUGCCGGGAAUAAAGUGCGACCCUGAGUGACCAAGUGUGUAACGUGUGUGGCCGGCCGGGGAUACGUGUGAUGGCGCGCAAGUGUAAAAGCCUUGGUGAGUACUACCGCAGCCGCGCGUGGGGAGCGUGUGAAACUUCGACGUGCGUAUGCUAAUGUGUGUGAAGAGGAAUGGAAACGUGCACGGGCGAGCAGGUGUCGCAGCGCAGAUUGCUGACCCACAAUUUGCACACGCACUGCCCUGACACCCCAAGAGCCGCUGCGACGCCUGCUGGACAGAGGGGAGACUUGCAGGUACUGUACAGUCCAGACAGAGUCCACGCGGGAGAAAGCCGGCGCAGAGACCGACCUGCAGACCAACGCAGCCACGGUCCUGUCUCCUCCCCCACCCCAGCCCCCAGCUUGCCCAGGCGGGAAUUGUCUCGGCUCUGGCAUUGGGCUCUCACCGCAAACUUGUGCGCUUGUGAAGGCUCUCAAUACUGCUGCCCCCCAGGCAAACAUCUGUGCUUAGUCUGAGGUGUUUGUCUGUCUGUCUGCCUGUCUGGGAAAUUCCCCUCGUGAGCCCUUUCUGUGAAUUCCCGAGAGACAGGUUUAACCCUUUGAAUGCCAUGGGUGAGGCCCGACCAGAGGGAAGUGCUUGCCACCUGUGGGGGAACUGCCGGCCUGGAGGCGCCAUUUCUAGUCUGGAACAGGCAGAGCUGCUUGCUUGAUUGCUACUCUUUCUCUGAGCACCCUGUGGUUUGGGGUGGCAGAGGGCCACAGGGCUCUGGGGCACCUGCUAGCCCGGCCCAGCCCCUGAUGGCAUCUCUGGACAAUGGAUUGGGGGUGGGAAGCCUGAGCCUGGAGUAGCCUUUGUUCCACUCCCUCAAUGUCAUUCUGAAAAAUAAAGUGUAUGUUUUACCCUGGCUGGUGUGGCUCACUGGACUGAGUGCCCACGUGGGAACCAAAGGGUCGCUGGUUUGAUUCCAGUCAGAGCAAAUGCCUGGGUUGUGGGCCAGGUCCCCAGUAGGGGGCGUGUGAGAGAGGCAACCACACAUUGAUGUUUCUUUCCCUCUCUUUCUCCCUCCC